UCCCUGGUAGUAUAUCGGUUACUACACGCGCCUAUCAUGUGGAACGCGAGUUCAAUCGCUGCGCGAAAGCUAGGUUCGACUCCCGGCCAGGGAG